rnacentral:lncRNA from 1 species
UGGUGAGCAGAGUUAGAACUAUUCCAGUCUAUUGAAAAGAGUUUCAAUGAUAUUGUGAUAGAAAUUAUAAUAUAUCUCACUAUCAGACAGAAUAGAACCUAUGGGGUCACACACAAAAGAGGCUUUUAACUGAUCAAACGAUUGAAUUAUGAUUAUGAAUCAUUACAGAAUUUGAUUAUCAAUUUGAUUGAUGAUUGAUCCAAUGCAAAUGUUGUAUUAUAUA